rnacentral:tRNA from 1 species
GCCGGUGUGAUGGAAUGGCAGACAUGACGGACUCAAAAUCCGUUGGUAGCGAUACCGUGUGGGUUCGACCCCCACCACCGGCACCA